UACAGAGGUCUCAAGCGUUGUUCGGAUUCAUUGGGCGUAAAGGGUGCGUAGGCGGCGCGGUAAGUCGGGUGUGAAAUCUCGGGGCUUAACUCCGAAACUGCAUUAGAUACUGCCGUGCUUGAGGACUGGAGAGGAGACUGGAAUUUACGGUGUAGCGGUGAAAUGCGUAGAUAUCGUAAGGAAGACCAGUGGCGAAGGCGGGUCUCUGGACAGUUCCUGACGCUGAGGCACGAAGGUCAGGGGAGCAAACGGG
rnacentral:rRNA from 1 species